GACGAACGCUGGCGGCGUGCUUAACACAUGCAAGUCGAGCGGUAAGGCCCUUUCGGGGGUACACGAGCGGCGAACGGGUGAGUAACACGUGGGUGACCUGCCCUCAGCUCUGGGAUAAGCCUGGGAAACCGGGUCUAAUACUGGAUAUGACUCCAUGACGCAUGUUGGUGGGGUGGAAAGCCUUGUGCGGCUGAGGAUGGGCCCGCGGCCUAUCAGCUUGUUGGUGGGGUGANGGCCUACCAAGGCGACGACGGGUAGCCGGCCUGAGAGGGCGACCGGCCACACUGGGACUGAGACACGGCCCAGACUCCUACGGGAGGCA
rnacentral:rRNA from 1 species